rnacentral:rRNA from 1 species
GACGAACGCUGGCGGCGUGCUUAACACAUGCAAGUCGAACGGAAAGGCCCUGCUUUUGUGGGGUGCUCGAGUGGCGAACGGGUGAGUAACACGUGAGUAACCUGCCCUUGACUUUGGGAUAACUUCAGGAAACUGGGGCUAAUACCGGAUAGGAGCUCCUGCUGCAUGGUGGGGGUUGGAAAGUUUCGGCGGUUGGGGAUGGACUCGCGGCUUAUCGGCUUGUUGGUGGGGUAGUGGCUUACCAAGGCUUUGACGGGUAGCCGGCCUGAGAGGGUGACCGGCCACAUUGGGACUGAGAUACGGCCCAGACUCCUACGGGAGGCAGCAGUGGGGAAUAUUGCACAAUGGGAGGAAGCCUGAUGCAGCAACGCCGCGUGCGGGAUGACGGCCUUCGGGUAGUAAACCGCUUUCGCCUGUGACGAAGCGUGAGUGACGGUAAUGGGUGAAGAAGCACCGGCUAACUACGUG